CUGUAAUAUAAGACGUAGCUAAAUCUUGCAUGCUAAUAUAUAUGCAGCUCAAAAUUAGCAGUAUGCGAUGAGAAAUGACCCAGCAAACAACUUAAGUCUCUAUUUUGAUUCUUUUUUUUAGUGUUUUUACUUUUAUCUGUCUAGAUAAUCUCAACUUUGUUCAGUCAAAAAAUAAUAAUCUCAACUUUGUAGAUCCUUUAUUUAUUUGAUAUAUGAUAGUGAAAUCUGGCUACAUUUCACUUGGAAACAAAAAUAUUUGAAGUUGUAGGUAUGGUCACAAUUUUUCCUAUAUAUCUGGAUUUACAUACAGGAAUAAAGGUUCAAAACUAAUGGUAGAAAUUAUGACAAGCAGCCAAGCAGGGGAUGGAAUGGGAAGGAAAC
rnacentral:lncRNA from 1 species